rnacentral:lncRNA from 1 species
UCAGCUUUGGGCAGUAUAUCAUCUUAUUAAUUCUACAUAUCUUCGAAGUUGUGAACCAGUGUAAUGAUUAUACACGUAUGUGAUGAUCAUAUAAACCAAAUGUCUAAGAAAAUUGAGCACGCCACUGAGCUCUUGUCUUAUGCCGGUGAAGUUUCAGUUUCAUACACUGAAUUUUUAUUCAUUCUUUUUGCUUGUUUUGUUUUUCUCAAACAAAAAUUUGUGUUAUGCAGCUGCCUUGGUUCCAAUGGAUAUAUCAUCCGUAAAUGACAUGUGGAAUGUCUUGUACACUAUAUGGCUUCUUGUAAGUUUCAAUUACCAACUCCUUUGUGGUUAAUUUUCAAAUGGAAUGUAGUGUCUCGGACAUUACAUAUAUGGUCCAAGACCCAGGGGCGGAUUUAUAUUGAGUAAAACGGUA